UACGGGGGGUGCAAGCGUUAUCCGGAUUCACUGGGUUUAAAGGGUGCGUAGGUGGGCAGGUAAGUCAGUGGUGAAAUCUCUGGGCUUAACCCGGAAACUGCCGUUGAUACUAUCUGUCUUGAAUGUAGUGGAGGUGAGCGGAAUAUGUCAUGUAGCGGUGAAAUGCUUAGAUAUGACAUAGAACACCCAUUGCGAAGGCAGCUCGCUACACUAUUAUUGACACUGAGGCACGAAAGCGUGGGGAUCAAACAGG
rnacentral:rRNA from 1 species